rnacentral:rRNA from 1 species
GGGUUGUGAGGUUAAGCGACUAAGCGUACACGGUGGAUGCCCUGGCAGUCAGAGGCGAUGAAGGACGUGCUAAUCUGCGAAAAGCGUCGGUAAGGUGAUAUGAACCGUUAUAACCGGCGAUGUCCGAAUGGGGAAACCCAGUGCAAUUCGUUGCACUAUCGUUAACUGAAUACAUAGGUUAACGAGGCGAACCGGGGGAACUGAAACAUCUAAGUACCCCGAGGAAAAGAAAUCAACCGAGAUUCCCCCAGUAGCGGCGAGCGAACGGGGAGCAGCCCAGAGUCUGAAUCAGCUUGUGUGUUAGUGGAACGGUCUGGAAAGUCCGACGGUACAGGGUGAUAGUCCCGUACACCAAAAUGCACAGGCUGUGAACUCGAAGAGUAGGGCGGGACACGUGGUAUCCUGUCUGAAUAUGGGGGGACCAUCCUCCAAGGCUAAAUACUCCUGACUGACCGAUAGUGAACCAGUACCGUGAGGGAAAGGCGAAAAGAACCCCGGCGAGGGGAGUGAAAAAGAACCUGAAACCGUGUACGUACAAGCAGUGGGAGCACCUUCGGGUGUGACUGCGUACCUUUUGUAUAAUGGGUCAGCGACUUAUAUUCUGUAGCAAGGUUAACCGUAUAGGGGAGCCGCAGGGAAACCGAGUCUUAACUGGGCGUUAAGUUGCAGGGUAUAGACCCGAAACCCGGUGAUCUAGCCAUGGGCAGGUUGAAGGUUGGGUAACACUAACUGGAGGACCGAACCGACUAAUGUUGAAAAAUUAGCGGAUGACUUGUGGCUGGGGGUGAAAGGCCAAUCAAACCGGGAGAUAGCUGGUUCUCCCCGAAAGCUAUUUAGGUAGCGCCUCGUGAAUUCAUCUUCGGGGGUAGAGCACUGUUUCGGCUAGGGGGUCAUCCCGACUUACCAACCCGAUGCAAACUACGAAUACCGAAGAAUGUUAUCACGGGAGACACACGGCGGGUGCUAACGUCCGUCGUGAAGAGGGAAACAACCCAGACCGCCAGCUAAGGUCCCAAAGUCAUGGUUAAGUGGGAAACGAUGUGGGAAGGCACAGACAGCCAGGAUGUUGGCUUAGAAGCAGCCAUCAUUUAAAGAAAGCGUAAUAGCUCACUGGUCGAGUCGGCCUGCGCGGAAGAUGUAACGGGGCUAAACCAUGCACCGAAGCUGCGGCAGCGACACUAUGUGUUGUUGGGUAGGGGAGCGUUCUGUAAGCCUGCGAAGGUGACCUGUGAGGGUUGCUGGAGGUAUCAGAAGUGCGAAUGCUGACAUAAGUAACGAUAAAGCGGGUGAAAAGCCCGCUCGCCGGAAGACCAAGGGUUCCUGUCCAACGUUAAUCGGGGCAGGGUGAGUCGACCCCUAAGGCGAGGCCGAAAGGCGUAGUCGAUGGGAAACAGGUUAAUAUUCCUGUACUUGGUGUUACUGCGAAGGGGGGACGGAGAAGGCUAUGUUAGCCGGGCGACGGUUGUCCCGGUUUAAGCAUGUAGGCUGGUUGUCCAGGCAAAUCCGGAUAAUCAAGGCUGAGGUGUGAUGACGAGGCACUACGGUGCUGAAGUAACAAAUGCCCUGCUUCCAGGAAAAGCCUCUAAGCAUCAGGUAACAUUA